rnacentral:rRNA from 1 species
GAUGAACGCUGGCGGCGUGCUUAACACAUGCAAGUCGAACGGAAAGGCCUCUGCUUGCAGAGGUACUCGAGUGGCGAACGGGUGAGUAACACGUGGGUGGUCUGCCCUGCACUUCGGGGGAUAAGCCUGGGAAACUGGGUCUAAUACCGGAUAGGACGAUGGUUUGGAUGCCAUUGUGGAAAGUUUUCGGUGUGGGAUGAGCUCGCGGCCUAUCAGCUUGUUGGUGGGGUAAUGGCCUACCAAGGCGUCGACGGGUAGCCGGCCUGAGAGGGUGUACGGCCACAUUGGGACUGAGAUACGGCCCAGACUCCUACGGGAGGCAGCAGUGGGGAAUAUUGCACAAUGGGCGCAAGCCUGAUGCAGCGACGCCGCGUGGGGGAUGACGGCCUUCGGGUUGUAAACUCCUUUCGUCAGGGACGAAGCGAAAGUGACGGUACCUGGAUAAGAAGCACCGGCUAACUACGUG